AUGGAGUUAAGUCUGUCUCUUACGCUUCGUCUUUUUAAUAUCUUUCGUGAGUAUGAUGUAAAGGAAAAUUGUGCUCAAGUGCUAGAAGAAGAAUGCAUUAGAAUGUUUGGUACUAGAUCUUUAUAUGAUGAGCAUGAUUGCAAUGUUGUUAGUAUGAAUUCCUUGAAUAUCCAUGAUGUUAAUGAUAUGCAAAGCCACAAGCUUGGGGAAGCUAUGUUUGAUGAAUAUGAUAUGUUUAGUCCCCCAAGUUUUGAUGAGAAUAUUUAUUAUGAUGAAAGCAUGCCUCCUAUUUAUGAUUAUACUGAUGAAAGUAUGCUAUUAAGAAUAAUGAUAACCAUGAAACUUGUCAUCAUGAUUUUAGUUUUCAAUUGGAUUAUGCCUCACGUGAUAUUUAUUUUGUUGAGUAUACUCCCACUAUUCCGAAUAAGAAUAAUUUUGCAUAUGUGGAGAGUAGUAAAUUUUCUAUGCUUGUAG
rnacentral:rRNA from 1 species